rnacentral:lncRNA from 1 species
UUGUAUUUUAUUGGAACAAGUUGACGUUAUUCUUGGAAUGAAUUGGUUGGAGUUAAAACAAGUGUUUACCAAUUGUUUUGAUAAGUUGGUGCAGUGUGUCGUUGAUUGUAAGAGCUCAGGUGAUGGUAAAGUUGUGUUAUUCCUAACACUGAAGAUGAUGUGGAUUCGAGAUUCCUAUCUUCCGGUAAAGUUGGGAAGUCCUUAGGGAAAACGAUCAAGUAUUGUUAA